GCUGGACCGAACCCCUCAGGGCCUGUCUCCCCUCUGUAGAGAGAUGGCCUCUGUCUGUCAGCUUGGCUCUCUGCCUGGUCUCCGCCCUUCACUUCCCACGGCCUCUCCUGCUUUCUCACUUCCCUUCAGAUGCUGGAUUUCAUCAAGAGCCUUUCCUGUGGCGGUGCAGACGAUCCCGUGGUUCCUCUCCUCUGUUUCCACUGCGAGGACCUGAGCUCUGGCCAGCUCUGCACUCCCAGCAGCCAGUGGCCCAUCUCUGUCCUCUGACCCAGCGCCUUUGCUGGAGCAAGGACUUCCUGGUUGAGAUCUGACCUAAACCCAUUCCUCCGCACGGACCACCUCCCCUGGCACACGCACAGAGCGAGAAGUUUCCUGGGUCCAUUUUAUCGCCCAGUGAACACAGAAGUAAUGGAGUCUCGCCCACGACGCCUUCUGCUAAGGAGGAGCCAGAGUGAGUAGCAGGGGUCGGAGGAAGAACCCGGAGGUGAGUGUGGUCCCAGAACCCAGAGCAGGUGAGAGACCUGUCCCUGUCCCGCGGUGUGAGAGGGGGGUUUGUAACAGCCGGAUGACUUCCUGGGCCACCAGGAUGCGGGAGCUACUGAGGGCAAAGGCAGCACCUGUCCCCUGGCUGCAGCUGAGGUGGUGGGAACCCCCGCUGUGGCAGGGCUGAGGGAGAGGCCCCGGCUGCUUCAGUGGCCGCUGAUCCUGCCCCCUGUGCCCUUGGGCCCCCCAACCUCUCCUGCAGGCGCCCAUUUCAACCACGUCCCACGUCCCUGGCUUCUGGAACUACCGCGUACGCAGGAAGUGAGGCCGCUGUGAGAGCCGGCUGUCACCUCAGAGACCUCACCUUUGAGGAUCCCAUCUCUGGCCCAGAUCACCAGAAACCAGCAGGGGCACCCAGCAUUUUGGAAGACCAAGUUGGUGACCACCUCGGCGGAAUGGUCUGGGAAGGCCUUUCUGUUCCAACACCACUCCUGCUGGCGACGGCAGCCGUCUUCUGUCACAGACCUCCUGAAGGGGGGACCACUCCUGGUCCCUCAGUAACAGGCUGAAGAGAGCUGCCUUUGUUUCUAACUAGUCUUCCCCACCUGCGGUGGACGCCCGCUGAUGAACUGUUGCCUUGUCUGAAUCGACUCCUUUGUUUUCUUUUUUCCCUUCGUUGGUAAUUCCCACCAGGAGGGCGGCAUCCCCAAAGUUGUUGACAUUAGGUCUCUGAUGCUGAGCUGAACCCUGUCAUACAGGGGCCUGCAGGAUUUCAAGAGAGAUGGGGCCCUGCUGGUGAGGAGGAGCUAGAGUGGAUGGAAAGGUGAGCCCGUGGCACCCGAGGGGACUCGCAGAAUCUAGAAACUGGAGGAGCUGAGUUAAAAGAGGCAUUUUAGUUCAUUUUAGCACACAUUUAUGGGGAGUACACUAUGUCCUAAGCACUGAGCUAAGCAGAGUGGACACAGCCAUGAGUGAAACUCAGUUCCUUUGGGAGUCCACAGUCACUACAGGGUGUUAAUUGCACCUGAUGGUGGGUAAGAGCUUAGACUCUGAGCAAGACUACUUGGAUCUGAAUCUCACUUCUGCCACUUAGAAUAAUGGGUGACUUUGGGCACGUUUAUAAGUCUCUGUGUUUACAUUUCUCCAUUUAUAAAAUGCAGACAGUAAUAGUACCUGCUCACUGGGUUGUUGUGAGUGUGUGUGUGUGUGUAUGUGUGUGCACAUGUGCAUGUUUUACACUGUACCUGGAGUACAGUGAGCAUUGCUGUAGGGUCUUUCAGUCCCUAGUCCCCCUUUCUUUCUGUUCUGAUCAAAAUACACAGACUGCCUUGAAAACUCCGAGAACCACUGGAUGUUUUCUCCAGUAGACCUGACAUUCCCAGGCACUGAUAAAGAUGUUUACGUUGUUGCUCAAAACCCUGAAAGAAAAUUGCCCUGAACCAAAGUCCCUAACCUGGUCCUUUGUCAUGGGCACCCCUGGAUGGGGCAUCUCCUGUUGCCGUCUUCUGCUAAGAAAUGCUACAGACCCCUCUGUACAUAAGUUCCUCCAAUGAGACCUUGGGACUGACCACGCAUUGGGCAUUUAGAGCUUCUUCCUUUGAUAUUCCAACUGGUCAGGACAGUUUAGAGCAGUCCCUUUUGGAAAUCCCCUGUUGUCAAUACUGGAGGUGACUUCACCUUCAAGUUCAGUUGGGACAGCGUAACUAUCUGUGUGCCUGUUAAUACUAGGUAAAAUCAUGGAGGCCCAUAUCAGGCGCCGUGGGAACAGAGACCAGGGAAAUCUCAAGAGGCAAUAUUUCCCUUACAAAAUUAAGUGGUCUCCUGGCCUCUUUGCCUGAAUCUCUCUUUGUCUUUUCUGAGUCUCUUCCGAACCACAUGCUUCUUCAGCCAAUCCGCUGAACCAGUGAUCUGCCAUCAUCAGCCAGUGGCUGGCUUUCUCCAUGCCCCCUUUGACAAGGGGCUCUCCUCCAGGAAACAGAAGCGGUCUUCAUCUUUAUAUAUACACACAUUUAUUUUUUUAUUUAUUUUUAUGUGGUGCCGAGGAUGGAACCCGGGGAGGGCCUCGUGCUAGGCGAGUGCUCUACCGCUGAGCCACGACCCCAGCCCCCUCUUCACCUGGUACUCCUGUCCCUCCUAGUCCGCCUCUGUCCUCCACACUGUCCACCUGAGCCCUGUCUUAAGGUCCUUGCCGAAGAUACCCUCAGUUCUCAUCACAGUCUGAGCACCCCACUUUCCGUCAUGGGGAUGGGAGGUGGUCUUUCCCUCUGGGCUUGGUGUGCUCUGUUGCUCUGUGCCAUCAAGGGUCGUGGGGAAGAUCAGGCACCAAAGACCAACUCAGGGAGGGAAACUGGGGAUACCAUGUGUGGACCCCUCAGGGUACUGGCCGAGGAGACGGGGACCUGCUCCUCUCUGACUGCCACUAACUCCCCCCGUGACCAGUAUCUUGCCAACUUUAAACCACACAAGGGACCUCUUUUAUUAUUUCUCUUUGCCUGAACUUCUUCAUGGUUUGAAAGAUUUUAUCUCCCCCCAAACAUCCUGCAGUUUAAUGAAUUAUUUUUCCAUGUUUUUUGUUACCAGAUAUUGAACCUAGGGGUGCUUAACCACUGAUUUUUAAAUUUUGAGACAGGGUCUUGCUUAGAGCCUCGCUAAGUUGCUGAGGCUGGCUUUGAAUUUGUGAUCCUCCUGCCUCAGCCUCCCAAGUGGCUGGGAUCACAUGUAAGUGCCACUGUGCCCAGCUACAAUCUUUUACUUAUAUAUGUUUAAGGUAUACAACAUGAUGUUCUGAUGUGCAUAUGUGUAGUCAAUAAUCACUACAGUCAAAUGCAUCUAUCACCUUCCGUAGCUACCCUCUGUCUUUCUGUGGGUACUACGUGGACUUAAAAUCUGCUCUUUAGCAGAUUUUUAGCAUAUGGACAAUAUUGUUAACUGCAGUCUUCAUGCUGUGCAUUAGAUCUCUAGAUCCUUCCCCUCUGCAGCCCCCUGGCCACACUGUUCUACUCUAUUUGUAUUUAUUGGACUCUGUAUGUAAGUGAUAUCAUAAAGUGCUUUCUCCUUUUUGUGUCAGGCUUUUUCCACUUAGCGUAAUGUUCUCCUGUUUCACCAUGUUGUCAUAGACAGCAGUGCCUCCUUUUCAAUGCUGAGUAAUACUCCAUUGUGUAUACACUCUACAUUUUUUUUAAAAAAUUCAUUCAUCCAUCAACGAACAUUUAGGUCAUUUCCAUAUCUUGGUUAUCGUGAAGAAUGCUUUAGUGAAUAUGGGAUUUCAGACAUCUCCACUAGGUGCUACUUUCAUUUACUCAGGGUCUUUACCCAUAAAAGGGAUUGCUAGGUCAUUUUCUAUUCCUAACUGACCAAAGAUUUUAAUCAGUGAGAGAGUUUUGUAGUACAGAAUUGACAAAACCUUUACUUAAACAACCUAAAUAUAAGUAAGCCUUACUUUUUAAAAGUCUUAGUGGUAUUAUUCCUGGUCGGAGCGUGAUUUCCACCAGACCUACCUUUCUUUCUUUACAAUCAAAAUCUUUAUUACCAGUGCCCUCCAAGAACACAGGAAGAAGACAGAAACACCCAGCCAUGGUCCUCCAGGAGCGCAUCAUCGGUCUUUGGCGAUAUUUAUUGAAGAGAUUUUGAGAAACAUUCAAUGGAGAGAAAGCAUGAGCAUUUCUGUAAACUUAUUAGUGAGACAACACCAUUAUGACCAGCUAUUCAGCCUCUCCCAACUCCCGGUCCACAAACCAAACUCGCUCGCCCGGUUUGGGCUGUCUUCCCUACUGUGGCAGACCACUGCGUCGGCAGUCUGGGUUGCUGGAGGGUGGUGUGAAACUUCCUGGAGAGCGGUUCAUUACACGUGCCCAAGGACUAUCACCUGUGCCUCUGGCUCCUAUUUGCCAAAACUGUUGCUACCUUCAAAUCUCUCAUAGCAUAAAAAACAGAUGGCCGGGGGAUUAAACAGUUUGAUAUCAUCAUUCUCGAUCUCACACUUUUUCACCUCUUGAGGUGACAUGAUUAGAGUGGGUGGUUUGAGGAUUUAAUGUCAAAUCUACCUGGAAUAUACCAAUGGCUUUUUGUAGACCAAAAUAAUGUGGAGGGAGAUGGCAACUCUCUUGCUUUAAUUCCUAAGAAAUAACUGUUGGGUGUCUUAUGUCUUCGUACCUGCUGUUAAUGCUUC
rnacentral:lncRNA from 1 species